rnacentral:rRNA from 1 species
UACGAAGGGGGCUAGCGUUGCUCGGAAUUACUGGGCGUAAAGCGCACGUAGGCGGUCUUUUAAGUCGGGGGUGAAAUCCUGGAGCUCAACUCCAGAACUGCCUUCGAUACUGCGGUGCUUGAGGACUGGAGAGGAGACUGGAAUUCCAGGUGUAGCGGUGAAAUGCGUAGAUAUCUGGAGGAACACCGGUGGCGAAGGCGGCAUUCUGGACCAUAACUGACACUGAGAGACGAAAGCCAGGGGAGCAAACGGG